rnacentral:lncRNA from 1 species
GGUGGUAUCUCUGAGUCAGAGGGGAAUGCCAACCUGGUGGGGAGUCAUCUGCCAGAAGCAGAUGCUAAAUAGAAUCAGGAGUGUGAAGGUUUAUUAGGGAGUAAUAUCUGUGUAACCUGACAAACUUGACAGAGGGAGAGUGGUUCCAAUAGAGGACUGCCCAGGUGAAGAGCCCUCCCUUGCAUGACAUCUGCAUUAGUCAGGUUUUCGUUGCUGCGAUCAAACAACUUGGAGGAGGAAAAGUUAAUUUUUGUUCAUGGUUUCAGAGGUUUUAGUCCAUGGUAAUUCAGUUCCACUGCUCUGGACCUAAGGUGAGGCAGAAUAUCGUGGUGGAAGGGCCUGGUGGAAGAAAACUUCUCAGCUCAUGGCAUCAGGGAAGCAGAGAGAGAGGAGGGAGAUAAACCCUCCCAGGACACGUUGUCGUUUGACCCACUUCCUCUGAACAGGUCCCACCUGCCUACAAGUUGUUGACCUCCUCCCAGUAGUUCAUUCAGCCAUAAAUGGGUUAAUCCACUGGUGAAGGCAGAGCCUUCAUGAUCCCAUCAUUCCUCAAAGUCCCACUUCUGAACACAUGAGACUUUGAAGGACAGUCCAGAUCUAAACCAUACAAAACCUCUUGCUGGGUCACAAUUGGGAGCUGUACCUGCAAGAGCAGGACAUUGGCUAGAGAGGUGAGGUGAAGAAGCCAAGCACUGGAGGUGUCAGUUAAC